rnacentral:rRNA from 1 species
AGCUCGUGUCGUGAGAUGUGGGUUAAGUCCGUAACGAGCGCAACCCUUGUCCUUAGUUACCAGCACGUUAUGGUGGGCACUCUAAGGAGACUGCCGGUGACAAACCGGAGGAAGGUGGGGAUGACGUCAAGUCAUCAUGGCCCUUACGGCCUGGGCUACACACGUGCUACAAUGGUCGGUACAAAGGGUUGCCAAGCCGCGAGGUGGAGCUAAUCCCAUAAAACCGAUCGUAGUCCGGAUCGCAGUCUGCAACUCGACUGCGUGAAGUCGGAAUCGCUAGUAAUCGUGAAUCAGAAUGUCACGGUGAAUACGUUCCCGGGCCUU